UAGUUCAGGUCAUUUUAUAUGUAGCUUACUAAAAUCACUCAGUGACUUGGUGUAGGCUAUGAAGCUUAUCUGCUGAGCAUCUGUCAUCGAUCAGAACGGUUUUGUCCCACAAAGUGUCCUAUCAGAUAAUGCAAGGUUCACACGUUCGGCGGUCCCCGUGGUGGAGUUUCCGUGAGAUCUUUCGUCUAAAUUUACAGGCAUGAAAUUACUAUAUGAAACCCCCAAACCGCCAGGCGAUGCGCUUGAGGGAUCGCGCAACCAUGUCCAGCGUAUUGGUCUGGAGCAUACGGCAAAGCCAGGAGAAAUAACGAGAGAGAGAGGCUUGUGCUAAAUUUGUAACAGUUCCACAUAAAUGGCAUAACUCGUUGCAUUUAAUUUGAAGAUUUGAGGGUUAGCCACCAAAUCACCAACAGAAGAUUGACAAGGCUUCCCAGAGGUUUAUUGUCAUGGCGUAGGAUAGAACCCAGGAAGACAGCCAAUAGUUGACCACCAUGGAGGCUUCCCCCUUCAGACAGCUGGUUAGCCAGCUCACAAAAUACAGGAAGUGCAACAUCAGGCUCUGCUUUGUCUGCAAGAACACCUGCAACAGAUGGUGCAUUCCGUCUUCGAAGUGCAAGCAGCAGACAGAGCCAUCCUCGUGGAGCUGUUGAAGGCAAAGGUCACCCAGGCCCAUCAGAAACACCAUGGAAGGAAUGCUGGCAGUGUGGAGCCCCGCUCUAGCAGAGUCAUUCCUGAUACCUGAUAUCACAGGUGAUGAAACUACUCUGUUGUUGUUACUUAAAAGCCAUUGGAAAACGGUUGUCUAGCAACUAAUUAAAUCCACACCUAGCAUCUGAGCAGCAAGUGCACACAGGUGAAUCUCGUUAGUUAUUUAACACCUAGUAUCUGAACAACAAGUGCACACAGGUGAGUAGUCCCGUUAGUUAUUUAUCAUAUAAACUGCUCUGAUUUCUUAGUAGGUGCCUGGAACAUGGAGACACACGAAGAGGAAUAAAGCAAAUAGGCUGAGAGAAGCUGAAAAGCUUAAGUUGCCGAAAGGCAUUGUUUUUCAUUGUUAUUUUAGUUAACUGUUUUUGUUUUCAGUUUCAGUACCGGAACCCAUGAGGGCAAAAGAAAAAAUACAUUUCAUUUAUUUCUGGAGGUGUAUGCCUAUGCUCUCUCUAUUCUCCCCGCCCCUACCUGGAGGACUGUACUGUAAUAAAAGGUUGAAAGACCAAUUGAACAAA